rnacentral:rRNA from 1 species
AGAGUUUGAUCAUGGCUCAGAUUGAACGCUGGCGGCAGGCCUAACACAUGCAAGUCGAACGGUAACAGGAAGCAGCUUGCUGCUUUGCUGACGAGUGGCGGACGGGUGAGUAAUGUCUGGGAAACUGCCUGAUGGAGGGGGAUAACUACUGGAAACGGUGGCUAAUACCGCAUAACGUCGCAAGACCAAAGAGGGGGACCUUCGGGCCUCUUGCCAUCAGAUGUGCCCAGAUGGGAUUAGCUGGUUGGUGAGGUAACGGCUCACCAAGGCGACGAUCCCUAGCUGGUCUGAGAGGAUGACCAGCCACACUGGAACUGAGACACGGUCCAGACUCCUACGGGAGGCAGCAGUGGGGAAUAUUGCACAAUGGGCGCAAGCCUGAUGCAGCCAUGCCGCGUGUAUGAAGAAGGCCUUCGGGUUGUAAAGUACUUUCAGCGGGGAGGAAGGUGUUGUGGUUAAUAACCACAGCAAUUGACGUUACCCGCAGAAGAAGCACCGGCUAACUCCGUGCCAGCAGCCGCGGUAAUACGGAGGGUGCAAGCGUUAAUCGGAAUUACUGGGCGUAAAGCGCACGCAGGCGGUCUGUCAAGUCGGAUGUGAAAUCCCCGGGCUCAACCUGGGAACUGCAUUCGAAACUGGCAGGCUUGAGUCUUGUAGAGGGGGGUAGAAUUCCAGGUGUAGCGGUGAAAUGCGUAGAGAUCUGGAGGAAUACCGGUGGCGAAGGCGGCCCCCUGGACAAAGACUGACGCUCAGGUGCGAAAGCGUGGGGAGCAAACAGGAUUAGAUACCCUGGUAGUCCACGCCGUAAACGAUGUCUACUUGGAGGUUGUGCCCUUGAGGCGUGGCUUCCGGAGCUAACGCGUUAAGUAGACCGCCUGGGGAGUACGGCCGCAAGGUUAAAACUCAAAUGAAUUGACGGGGGCCCGCACAAGCGGUGGAGCAUGUGGUUUAAUUCGAUGCAACGCGAAGAACCUUACCUGGUCUUGACAUCCACAGAACUUUCCAGAGAUGGACUGGUGCCUUCGGGAACUGUGAGACAGGUGCUGCAUGGCUGUCGUCAGCUCGUGUUGUGAAAUGUUGGGUUAAGUCCCGCAACGAGCGCAACCCUUAUCCUUUGUUGCCAGCGGUUAGGCCGGGAACUCAAAGGAGACUGCCAGUGAUAAACUGGAGGAAGGUGGGGAUGACGUCAAGUCAUCAUGGCCCUUACGACCAGGGCUACACACGUGCUACAAUGGCGCAUACAAAGAGAAGCGACCUCGCGAGAGCAAGCGGACCUCAUAAAGUGCGUCGUAGUCCGGAUUGGAGUCUGCAACUCGACUCCAUGAAGUCGGAAUCGCUAGUAAUCGUGGAUCAGAAUGCCACGGUGAAUACGUUCCCGGGCCUUGUACACACCGCCCGUCACACCAUGGGAGUGGGUUGCAAAAGAAGUAGGUAGCUUAACCUUCGGGAGGGCGCUUACCACUUUGUGAUUCAUGACUGGGGUGAAGUCGUAACAAGGUAACCGUAGGGGAACCUGCGGUUGGAUCACCU